AGUUUCCCUCUCUUUUCAGCUCCAGCUUGCCUCCCAGGUGAAACCUGGUCCAUGUGAGCAGUGGUCGGCUUCCAACAAAGCGAAACUUCACCUGUGUGUUAUAGAUUAUUUCCUAUUGUAAGAAGUUGCUUCAAAAUUUUGAGAAACAAGAAGGCAAUGAGUAUACAAACCAACAAACAUCUUCUCAAACUCCUCCAGAAUCAAUAAAAAAAAAAAAACCAAAUAUUUUGUACAAUUCCAGCCAUUGUUUGCUCGGACAAGAUGCUACUUCAUAUACUUGACAUGUUAUCCAUGAUUGCACAAAAGGGACAAAAUUCAGAUCUAAUAUUCUGAUUCUUCUCGAGAGAAUCACACUGGUCC
rnacentral:lncRNA from 1 species